rnacentral:pre_miRNA from 1 species
CUGAGCUCUUGAUAUGUUGUCCAGGCUGCUCUUGAACUCCUAGCUGCAAACAGUCCUCCCACCUCGGCCUCCUAAAGUGCUGGGAUUACAGGCAUGAACCACUACACCCUGGCCUAGAUAAUUUGUUUGAAAAAAAAAAAAAGAAAGAAACACAAAAAUUCUUCUAAGGAAGCAUAUUAAAAAUAGGUUUUUCUGUUUCUUCUUUGAAAUAAAAUAAAUCUAAAAUAAUAGGCUGAUGUGCCCUUACCACAAACAGAAGUAACUAUUUGUCGGUGUGAAAUAUUAUUUCCCUGCAAUGAGUACACCACUGAGUUCAGAUGUAUUUAUUAGUCUAUAACUGGAGAUAAAAAUAUAACCUGAUGUCACAAUAAUUUCUGCAGGCUUUUGAGGCACGUUCUUAUUCUCCUUCCAUUGUACCAUCCUAAAUUAACUCUGGUGAGAAGCUUCACUUCCACUCUUCAUUCUAUACUGAGGAGCCAUGGGUCUUGACAAUGAAAUAAAUAACAUGAAAUACAUCUGUUUUCCUUUCUGUUAGAUAAAAGAAACCCAAGAGAACACUGUAACCUGAAAAUAAUCAACUGAUGAGUAAAUGACAGUCUUCAGCAUUUCUAGUACACUCAGUCUGGCAAAACUGUGGCCUAUACCCUUAAGUUAUAUAUUUAUAACAGGCAGAUAAACACCAUCUUUAUUUACAGAACUCUUAGGGAACUAUAUGAAGCAAGCUAAAAAUAUUUAAAAGAAUAUGUAGGACUUUUUUAAAAUAUAUUUUUAUAUUUUUGAUUAGUCUAUCAUUAAUGCCAAUACAGUCAAACCUAAAGAGCAUGCUCCCUUAGCCCUCAUACCAAGAUUUGGGGAAGACAUUUUUGUCUUCAGUCUGAUGAAAAUUUCAGGUAGUUUCUUUUGUAUAGGAAAAAUGUUCACCAGAAUAUUUUAGGAUCAGCCAUUUGAAAGAGAUUUCCUCAUCAGUUUAGGUGGAAGAAGUCCCUGAAGUUUAUCAUUGUUAAGAAGUUAAGGGUGAAAUUGUUGGUGGGAAGGUAAAUUAGUACAGCCAUAAUGAAAAUUUUUUGAAAACAAAAAAUAAAAAAUAUAACUAUUGCAUGAUUCAGCAAUCCCAUUGCUGGGUAUAUAUCCAAAGGAGAUGAAAUCAGUAUGUUAGAGAUAUCUGCACUUCCAUGUUCAAAGAGCAUUAUUCACAAUAGCCAAGAUAUGAAAUCAACUUUAAUGUUCAUCAACAGUUAAAUGGAUAAAGAAGAUAUAGUAUAUUUGCACAAUGGAAUGCUAUUCAUUCAUAAAACAGAAGAAAAUCAUCUCAUUUGCAACAAUGUGGAUAAACUGGAAAGACAUUAUGUUAAGUCAAACAAAGUAGACACAGAAAGACAAAUACUGCAUGAUUUCACUUCAAUGCAAAGUGUAAAAAAUUUGAACUGCG